CGGGGAGCGGGGGCCGCCCGCGGGCCCGGGCACCCCGCGCCGGGUCCGGCACUGCCGAGGAGCAGCGGCCGGGCGGCGGGAGGAGCGAGAUACACUGAAUGUUGUACAUUUGGUGUGAGGGAGGCAGCCCUCCCCAACAGACACGAGAUGCAGAGAAGAACAUGCCGUUCUGAGAGCAGCGGUACCAAUGAAAUCCCAUAGACGGUCUCUCUCCCCUGUCCUGCUCUGCACAGAAGCCCCGGGUUCUACCAAAUGAAGAACAUGCCAGCCUUCCCCCGUAGGGGUCUUUUUUUCUGAAAUUGCCAAACUUACCAGCUCUGUCAAAUUUAGUUGAAAACUGCUUCAUGUUCUCAGGAUACAUUUGUAGAAACACGUUAUGAAAAGGGAAAAAUUCCCACCUCUACAGGAAGCAAAAGUAGCAACCAGUCACGAACACUGAAUUUCAGCAGUUAUGUCCUGUGAAGAAAGUAAAACUUUUAGCCUACAUUACCCCUCUGCACAGAGCAGCUCUGCAUCCAAGUGCUCUGCUCACCUUUAUCCAUCCCUGUCCCAUCAGUCCGUAAGGCCCGCAAUAUGGAACAGCUCUUCUUCUUCAGUUUGGAAAUGCUCACGUCACCUGGCAGUGCUACCAGAAACAAUAAUUGUGUAAGACAGAAAUACACUGCACUAACUGCCUGAGCCUCAAUUACAUGUGAAGAGGCAAUAAAAUUUAUUGAGGGAAAUACUGUUCCAGAACGCAGUGUAACCAGGGUAAUCCACUGCUUCCAGCAAAGCAAAGCCUAGAGUCUGGCUGGAUCCUGAGCACAGCUUCAGCUUGUGCAGACCAACCACAUCAAUAUGCACUGUCUAGAGAUUCUUUCCUAGAAAACAGGUAGCACUGGAUAUAUCGUAUCACUUCCUAGACGGAUUUUCUUUCUUGGAAAGCACGAAAAGGAACAUCACUUAACACCUCUGACCUCAUUAACCUGCCUAAUUCUGGGUUUCUUACCUCAUGCCACGCUCACCCAGCUCCGAAGUGCAGGUUCUGGCUCUCACCCUUCCCCUGAACAUCCUGCAGAACGCCGGCAGGUGCCGCCACUGGCUCAGCAAUAACCCAGGCGAAAAGUAGGCUUUUUUCCCCGUAGAUGGUGAGGAGGGGCUGGGGGCAAAGCACAUCGCAGCUCCCAGCUUCGGCAGCACCUUGCACUAAGGCCCUCCACAGCCAGCUGAUUAUCCACUGCAGAUUAUCCCAUGGAGAUGUAGAUGCUGUAGCUCAAGCUGCAGGUACCUGCAAUUCUAUGAAGCACAGCAGGAAAUGAUGCCCCAUGCACUCAAACAAUCUCUCACACCAUUACUUGCUCAGCUUUCAAGGGGAAUUAAAAAUAAAUAAAUUCUCAGCUGUAUCCAGGCAUCCAGCUAGGGCUGCCCAUCCCUGGGUCCAAGCAGGCAAAGCAGGAGGUGGCUGCACACCCUGCCCCAGACCCAGCUGUGCCCAGCAGAGGUGGGAUGCCCAAAGUGCUUCCAAAGCAACAACUUGGCUCCUCCAGCAGUGCCACAGAUGUGGCUGGGAAGAACAAGUGCCUCUUGAGUCACUGUGCUAUGAAAGAGUUAAGCAGUUCCCUCUCUCCCCCAACUGAAUCAGAGGAUGCUUCAUAUGUUCUGGUUCUGGAACAAAGGCCAAACAAGUGCAGUCACUGCUCAGACUGCUUUAUGCCCUGGGUCACCAUGACUUAGCUGAAUGCAUGAGCUCUGCAGCAAAUACUGAUUCACUCCAUGUUGUCAACUACAUCCAUGAGCUAGAGGGGUGUCUCCCCUCUGUGUCCUUGUGAAAAAUCAGUCACUGGCCUGUUCCCCAUGACAUCAAUAUCCUCCCUCUUAAUAGAAUGACACGGGUGAUUGCUCUAUAUUUAGCCUUGUUUCUCAUUCCUCAUUGCUGAGGACUGUGGUAAUGGAUCAUAGCUUAUCAAGAGAUCACAGCUAUGCCAGUUGCCUCUUCCCUUUCUCAAGAAGUCUUCAUCACUGAAGCAGAUCUUCCAGUUCGGGCAAGUGGGGCAUCCUUGGCUUCUGAAGCUUGUCCCCAGGAUUUGUUCCAUUUUUAGUCAGAUAUAAAAUUGCAAUUUCGGCUAAAACUUUCCAGGGAACACAACUGCUAGCCUGAAUUUCCUCUCUAGGUUAUGAAUAGGAUAGAAGUGAUAAAUAACAAGAGACUUGCUCAUCGAUCCACUCACUUCUACUUGGUGGCUAAGGAAAGAGAAAGCUAACUCUAUCUCCAGCUGGACUGAAAUCUUACCUCAUGUGAACCAAGAAAAAGCCAGACCACAGCCAGCGUGCUGACCUGGGUCCUUGUCACUGAAACACCAAGCAGCCAUGAGAAAGUUUCCUGCCCUCAUGUUUCCCAUCACCAGAUGCCAAAAACAAGGCACUCACACCAAAAGCAGCUAGUGGACUGUAUUAGCCACAGAAACUGGGCACCACCACAGUACAGUCAGCAUUACUGGCCUGAGUGUGCACAAAAGGUCAUGCUGCAGAAAGAAGAAACUCCAAGAAGCUGAGAACUCCAGUUCCCUGAGUAGUUUUUCUGCAGUAGGAGAGGAAUGAAGCAGAACAGUUGCAUGUAAGGUGAGCUGUGCAGUGCAAACAACGUGAGUUGAAGUAUUAAUCUUUAGUUCAUGUGCUGCAAUCCCUGCUUCUACUCCAAGAGGGAACAAAAUUAAAUUUUUGCUCAUUUUCUUUCAAAGGGACGCAACUGAAAUUGUGAGGCCUUUUGUCUAACUGCUUCAGCAACCAUAGGCAUUCUGUUAAUAUACAGCAAAACAACCUCUCUAGUGGGAGAAAUAAAAAACUUUGUUAUAAAUAAACUGGUUGCAAACAAGCUGUCGAUUCACACACAGCGUUUUAUUUACAAAGGCAUGCCAAGUCCAGACUUGUUUUUGUUUUAAUUUACUGCACCACAGAUAGUAAAAAAAAACAGCCAAACAAAAACUGAGCCAAAGGGAUUGUCUCUGCAAGUAUGCCCGUUUCUUAGAGAUUGCCCAUAUCCCUUUAAGGCAGCACAAAGCCUUUCUUUAUAGUGGUUUUAAAGUGACCUCUUAAAUUAAGACAGCAGGGUCAAACUGACCACACAGUAUGUAGCCAUGUACUCAGCUGUUGCCUCAUAACUUACAGAUUUGUUUAUAGCUCUGGUAGUUAGAAGAAAGAUGUUCCUCAGAUCAGUGCAACUCAUCUUUUAAAAAAGAAGUCUCAUUUCAAUAACUAGCAUAUUUGGGAAAGUCAUACAAUAAGCUAGAGCCCACCUUUGUCUUGCAGAGUCUGCAAGAAUUGAUCAGCAUCUCCAAAAGCCACCAUAACGCUACAGAUCUUUCCCUGCUUCCUGCCUUCCCAGUUAAUUGGCAGGUCAUUCUAGAGCAUUUCUAGAAAAUGAGGAAAAAACCAAAAACCAUACACUUCUAAAUAAGGGUUUGGUUCACUUCCAUUCAGGACAUUGUUGUUUACACCUGCAAUUAGCUGGCCCAAGCAUCUAUUGGUAUUAUUCCUCUGCAUCAGCUCAAAAAUAGAUUAAUCUCUCACAUUAUGCGUAGGGAACAUGGGCAAUAAAAUAAAUUCAAGUCCUAAACAAGCAGUCAAACAGGCCAGCACAACUUGAAAAUGUUCAGCUUGUAAAAUCCUAAUCCAAUCCUUAGCAGUUAGGACAUGCCAGAACUAGAAUUACUGGUACAACUUCAGUUCACGCCUCCUGUAAGUGAAUUAUAACACUGGCUUAGAACGUGGCCCCACAGUCACUUUGUCGUUUUGCCUGGGGAUCCAUAUAUUCAAUGCACUGAAGAUAGAGAUUGCUGAAUGGGCAGCUAGUCACUUCUGACUUUUCUUUACUGGCAAUGUGUUUGGACCACACAUUGAAUGUUUACUGCACACCAGCCAAAUCCUGCACAGAAUACAGAAUUAUUUGUUUUCUCCGGGGCAUUUGUGGUGCCCACCACUACUGCAGCCUACUGAUUUGCAAAGACUUGGUUAUCGUCAUGACGUGACACGGUGGGUAAGACUAAGCCCCACUGCACAACAGAGGUCCACGAGCUAAAAGCAUCCCUUCAGUUUCAGAACGUAGCUUGUGCCAAUGGCUGCUUCCCUCCACCAUCACCUCACUCCAGGUUAUUUAGUAGUAGAGUAUAUUUCCACCUCCAUCUGUUAAAUUCAACCCUUGAUGCCUCAAAUGAAGUACGGACAUCUCACAGAUAGCGGCCACCCGAGAAGAGCAGAAGUGCUGCACAGUAUCUCU